rnacentral:pre_miRNA from 1 species
AUGAUACUCCCUCCGUUCGGAAAUAGUUGUCAUUGAAAUGGAUGUAUCUAGAUGUAUUUUAGUUCUAGAUACAUCCAUUUUGAGGACAAGUAAUUCGGAACGGAGGAAGUAUUAA